ACGCUGGCGGCGUGGAUAGACAUGCAAGUCGAACGAGUNUCGUUUAGUAGCAAUACUGAGCGAAGCUAGUGGCGAACGGGUGCGUAACACAUGAGUCAUCUGCCCAGAAGUGGGGAAUAGCUCGGCGAAAGCCGGAUUAAUACCGCAUGUGGUCGUAAGACCAAAGCCGGGGCAACCUGGCGCUUUUGGAGGAGCUCGUGGCCUAUCAGCUAGUUGGUGAGGUAACGGCUCACCAAGGCAACGACGGGUAGCUGGUCUGAGAGGACGACCAGCCACACUGGAACUGAGAUACGGUCCAGACACCUACGGGUGGCAGCAGUCGAGAAUUUUUCUCAAUGGGGGAAACCCUGAAGGAGCGACGCCGCGUGGAGGAUGAAUGCUUUCGGGUUGUAAACUCCUGUCAUUUGGGAACAAGACCUUACGUUAACUGCGUGGAGGAUUGAUAGUACCAGAAGAGGAAGAGACGGCUAACUCUGUGCCAGCAGCCGCGGUAAUACAGAGGUCUCGAGCGUUGUUCGGAUUCAUUGGGCGUAAAGGGCGCGU
rnacentral:rRNA from 1 species